CCUACGGGAGGCAGCAGUGAGGAAUAUUGGUCAAUGGGCGCGAGCCUGAACCAGCCAAGUCGCGUGAGGGAAGACGGCCCUACGGGUUGUAAACCUCUUUUGCCGGGGAGCAACGGGCGCCACGUGUGGCGCCACUGAGAGUACCCGUAGAAAAAGCAUCGGCUAUCUCCUGGCCAGCCGCCGCGGUAAUACGGGGGGUGCGAGCGUUAUCGGACUUUAUUGGGUUUAAAGGGUUCGUAGUGGGAUGGUAAAGUCAGAGGUAAAAUUGCGGGGCCAAACCCCUUCCUGCCAGUGAAACUGGCGGUCUGGAGUGGACGAGAAGUAAGCGGAAUGCGUGGGGUAGCGGUGAAAUGCAUAGAUAUCACGAAGAACCCCGGUUGCGAAGGCAGCAUGCCGGAUUCCUACUGACGCUGAGGCACGAAAGCGUGGGGAUCGAACAGGAUUAGAUACCCUGGUAGUC
rnacentral:rRNA from 1 species